UGGAUAACGAAAGAGACCUUAACCUGAUAAAUAGAAAUAAUCGGUUUGGCGGUACGCUGGCUUCUUAGAGGGAGUAUCGGCUCAAGCUGAAGGAAGUGGAAGGCAAUAACAGGUACAGGAUGCCCUUAGCUGUUCUGGUUCGCACCCGCGCUACACUGACAGAGCCAGAGAGUACUCCUUUUGUCGGAAGGUCAGGGUAAUCUUGUUAAACUUAGUCUUGGUGGGGAUAGAGCAUGACAAUUACAGCUCUUCAUCGUGGAAUCCGUAGUAAGCGCAAGUCAUCAGCAUGAGCAGAUUACGUCCCUGUCCUUUGUACACACCCCCCGUCGCUAUUACCGAUUGAAUG
rnacentral:rRNA from 1 species